rnacentral:rRNA from 1 species
GAGGUCCGACCUGCCCAGUGAUAUUAAUUCAACGGCCGCGGUAUUUUGACCGCGCUAAGGUAGCACAAUCACUUGUCUCUUAAAUGGGGACUAGUAUGAAAGGACCCACGAGAAUCUAACUGUCUCCUUUCUUUAAUCCGUGAAACUAAUCUCCCUGUGAAAAAGCAGGGAUCAUUAUAUAAGACGAGAAGACCCUAUGGAGCUUUAGAUAAAGCAAUACUUUCUUUUUCUAAAUCACUUUCAGAAGAAUACCCCCAAGACAUCUUGUUGCCAAUCUUCGGUUGGGGCGACCACGGAGUAAAACUAAUCCUCCACGCCGAAUGGAAUUUUCCAUAACAAAGAGCUACAGCUCUACGAACCAAAAAAUUGACAAUUGACCCAAUAUUUGAUCAACGAAACAAGUUACCCUAGGGAUAACAGCGCAAUCUACU